UACGGGGGGGGCAAGCGUUGUUCGGAAUUACUGGGCGUAAAGGGUUCGUAGGUGGCCCGCUAAGUCACACGUGAAAUCCCUCGGCUUAACCGGGGAACUGCAUCUGAUACUGGAUGGCUUGAGAUUGGGAGAGGGAUGCGGAAUUCCAGGUGUAGCGGUGAAAUGCGUAGAUAUCUGGAGGAACACCGGUGGCGAAGGCGGCAUCCUGGACCAACACUGACGCUGAGGAGCGAAAGCCAGGGGAGCAAACGGG
rnacentral:rRNA from 1 species